rnacentral:rRNA from 1 species
CGUCUAGUGGAUGACUAGGCUUGGAAGCUGUUGAAGGGCGUGGCAAGCUGCGAUAAGCCAAGGCGAGCCGCAUGCAGGUUUUGAACCUUGGAUACCUGAACAGCUCCGUAAGGAGUGGGAACGCCGGGAAUCGAAGCAUCCUAGUACCGGCAGGAAAAGAAAGCAAUAGCGAUUCCGUCAUUAGGGUCGACCGAACGCGGAAGAGGACAAACCGAAUUCUGCAGCGUGAGUUGCAGAAGAUGUGGUGUUAGGGCCUGGUUACAGCCUCCUGUCAUGAGUUGAAGUCCCCUGGAACGGGGCGCCAUAGAGCGUGAAAGCCGCGUAAGCGAAAUGCCGGGAGCUGAUUGCCGGGUACCCAGAGUAUGGCGCGUCGGAUAUCGCGUCAGAACGUGCGGGUCAAUUACCCGUAAUCCUAAAUACUCUCCAAGUCCGAUAGCUCACUAGUACCGUGAGGGAAAGUUGAAAAGCACCCUUAACAGGGGGUGAAAAGCGCCUGAAACUAGACGGCCAUAGGCUGACAGGGCACAGAAGAGGUAAAGUCCUCCGAAGCGAGGCAUGGAAACGUGCGGAGCGAGGAAGGAUGAUUCAGUGUCCUGUUGUUCGUCCUGAAACACGAGCGAGGGAGUUUGCGGGUGUGGCGAGGUUAAUCCCCUUCGGGGAGAAGCCGCAGCGAAAGCGAGUGCCCGCAACGCGCGAAAGCGCGUGAGGGGCAGGGUAUGAAUAGUGCCCAAGUCACACACGCCAGACCUGAAACCGGGUGAUCUAUUCCUUUGCAGGCUGAAGUCCCCCUUCCGGGGGAUGGAGGGCCGAUACCAGUGUUAGUCCAACUAUUUGGGUGACAUGGGAAUAGGAGUAAAAUGCCAUUCGAACCCGGUGAUAGCAGGUUCCUUCCGAAAUAGCUCUUAGGCUAGCCUUUGCUGAGGCGGGCUGUGGGGUAGAGAUACUGAUUAGAAAGUACUGGUUGGAAACUUCCAGCUUUCUUGUCAAACUCCCAAUCUGCAGCCGCCGUAGAAGCAAGGAGUAGGGGUGCGUGGGGUAAGCCCCGUAUCCUUAAGGGGAACGACCCAACCUUGGGUUAAGGCCCAUAAGUGCGGAUUAAGUGUAACUUGAAAAGCGUCCUUUUCCUAAAACAAUGUGGAGGUAGGCUUAGAAGCAGCCAUCCUUUAAAGAAAGCGUAACAGCUCACACAUCUAGGUGAGGGGCCUUGAAAAUAAUCUGGGCUAAAAUCCGCCGCCGAUACCCAGGAAUGUCCACUGUGUGGACAAUUUAUUAGGAAGGUGCUCGGAUGGUGUAGAAGCAGGGCAGCAAUGUCCUGUGGAACCGUUCGAGAUAUGGAUCCUCGUGCUAGUAAUAAUAUAGAGAGGUGAGAAUCCUCUCCGUCGAAAGGGCAAGGGUUCCUUAGCGCUAAUCAUUAGCUAAGGGUUAGUCGGUCCUAAGGCCAAACGUAGAGCGUAUUGGCCGAAAGGGAAACGCGUUCAUAUUCGCGUACCAUUCAGAUACGUCUUCGGCAACGAUAGCCGUGCUCCAGACGCUUUGGGCUAGUGUCCGUCCCGCCGUCGCGGGAUUUAAAUUGCAUAGGUCCGUGGAGAGCCGUAAUGGCGAGAAGCGGAGCAAAGCAAUGAACAGGAGAAAUCUGGACACGAGGCCUGGAGCCCGUGAAAAUGGAGUGCGGAAGGAUUCUGAAUGCCCGUACCAAGAACUGAGAAAGGUGCCCCUGGCUGAGAAGGCCAAGACGUCUCAGGGAAUAACUCUGUUUAGGGAAUUCGGCAACAAUAGCCCUGUAUCUUCGGUAUAAGGGGUGCCUGCAGUGCAGACUGCAGGUUGCAAUAACAAGGGGGGUCCGACUGUUUAUCAAAAACACAGGUGACUGCUAGCCAGCAAUGGUGUGCAUAGUCGCUGACUCCUGCUCACUGCCAGUACGUGAAACCCCGUUCCAACGGGACUAAGCGCUGGUGAAGAGCGGGCCUAACUCUGAGGCUCUCAUGGUAGCGUAAUACCUUGGCGGUUGAAUGCCGUCUUGCACCAACGGAGUAACGAGAUCCCCACUGUCCCGAAUAGAGGCCUGAUGAACUCGCUGCGCGGUGAAUAUGCCGCGGAAUUCCAACGGGAAGAGAAGACCCCACGGAGGUUUACCACAAUCUGAUGUUGUGGUAUGUUUUCUGAUGUCUAGCGUAGAUGGGAGCGCCGAAGUAGUUUCGCUAGGAACUAUGGAGCGACAAUGUAACACCAUCCUUUGGAAAACGUACUGCUAACCCGCAAAGGGGACAGCAUUUGACUUGGUGGUUUGGCUGGGGCGGCACGCCCCUGAAAAUGUAUCAGGGGCGCCCAAAGGUGUGCUCAGGUGAGUCAGAAAUUCACCGUAGAACGCAAAGGCAAAAGCACGCUUGACCAUGAACUACACAGCAAGGUUCGUGGAUGCGAAAGCAGGGCUUAGCGAACGUCAGAAGCGCAUUAGUGGCCCUCUGGUCUUACAGUGAAUUUACCCUGGUGGUAAUUGAGUGGUCGCGGGUGAGAGUUCACAUCGACCCCGCGGUUUGCGACCUCGCCGUCGGCUCUUGAUAUCCUGGCCGUGCAUAAGCGGCCAAGGGUGCAGGUGUUAACUGAUUAAAAUCGAACGUUAGUUGGGUUAAGAACGGUGCGAGCCAGUUUGGUUACUAUCUGUUGGAAUUGUUGGGCGUCUGAGGGGAAGGAGCACUGAGUACGAGAGGAACGGUGCUUCGUGGCCACUGGUACGCCAGUUGUCUGACAAGGCAUCGCUGGGUAGCUACGCCAUGGCUUAUAAGAGCUGAAAGCAUCUAAGCUCGAAGAAGCCCCUGAAAAUAGACGCCCAUUCCUGA